rnacentral:tRNA from 1 species
GCCGGGGUGGCAGAGUGGCAAUGCGCUGGACAUCCCUUCCAACCGUAGUAUUCUUGGAGGGGGGCAGAGUCGAGAUCCAGUGGCUCUUUGAGUCUCAAGGGUUCAAAUCCCUUCCCCGGCGCCA